rnacentral:rRNA from 1 species
GACGAACGCUGGCGGCGUGCCUAAUACAUGCAAGUAGAACGCUGAAGGAGGAGCUUGCUUCUCUGGACGAGUUGCGAACGGGUGAGUAACGCGUAGGUAACCUGCCUGGUAGCGGGGGAUAACUAUUGGAAACGAUAGCUAAUACCGCAUAAUAGUAGAUGUUGCAUGACAUUUGCUUAAAAGGUGCAAUUGCAUCACUACCAGAUGGACCUGCGUUGUAUUAGCUAGUUGGUGGGGUAACGGCUCACCAAGGCGACGACACAUAGCCGACCUGAGAGGGUGAUCGGCCACACUGGGACUGAGACACGGCCCAGACUCCUACGGGAGGCAGCAGUAGGGAAUCUUCGGCAAUGGACGGAAGUCUGACCGAGCAACGCCGCGUGAGUGAAGAAGGUUUUCGGAUCGUAAAGCUCUGUUGUAAGAGAAGAACGAGUGUGAGAGUGGAAAGUUCACACUGUGACGGUAUCUUACCAGAAAGGGACGGCUAACUACGUG